UCAGUGCGCAGAUCUACGGCGCAGUGUCCGGAGCCGGGACCGGAAGAGCUGCCUCUUGUCCCGGAGACACGGUGGAGAGCGGUCGUGCUUCCUCCUGCGUCCCGGCUGAGCGAUGACCUCUUCGGGAUGAAUCUCCAGUAAUGCAGGAAUGCAGGGGGAAAUGGCGGAUUCAAGCAAUAACUGGCCCAUUGUCAGCUAAUAUAAAGAUGAUUUAGGUUACAAGGUGUGGUGCCUGGCGAUGCACCUGAUUUAAUCAUGCGUGUGUCCUGUGCUAAAGAGGAGUUGCCUCUGAUUACAUGAGGUGACAGGAUGAACCUGGUGUAAUCCCUUGUGUCCUGUGCUGAUGCGGUGCUUCAGAUCCUAUGAUGUGGUGGCUGGAGAUGCACCUGAAGUAUAAUCCUGUGCUGAUCAGGAGUUGCCUCUGAUUACAUGAGGUGACAGGAUGAACCUGGUGUAAUCCCUUGUGUCCUGUGCUGAUGCGGUGCUUCAGAUCCUAUGAUGUGGUGGCUGGAGAUGCACCUGAAGUAUAAUCCUGUGCUGAUCAGGAGGGUUACGGAGCCAGUUGACUGAUCACAUGUUUAUGCGAAAACCAAAUUUCAAAGUGUACCUGGAACUGAUGGAUCACCAUUUGGCAGAUUUAUUAGAAAAUAUUUUUCUGAAUAAAACUUGUUUGCAAAAAAUGCCUGGGCUUGAUCUGA